UCAAACAGUCGUACGUAUGCAUUUUAUCUAACUAAAUCAUUUCCUAUAUGAACAAAUGAAACUAUUAUAAUAAACUUAUCAUUUUUAAAUAAUAUGUAAGAAAAAUUACUUCGUUUAUUUUUAUUUGCGCCCGCUAAACACACACGUAGCACACGCUUGUCCAUCUUAAGAACAUGCUUCUCCUUUAUUAGUACAGGAAAAGCAACACCUCGUGUGAUGACUGAUGGGAUUUCUUACCCUGCCGCGCGCUUGUAAAGAGACAAGCAGAAUAUUGUAAAAUUAUAAUAAUAAUAAAAACAUUGGAUCCAUCGUUUUUAAAAGAGUCAUUGCUCUAUUAGCAAUCUUUUGAUUAAUUUUCCAAUGUCUACUACCAUGGGUCGAUGGUUAACUUUUACUGCAUAUAUUAUAUUUACCGACGUCAAGACCAGUCAGUCGGGGGGACUCAACCUCUUCUUAUAAUAGAGUCAGAUCUCAGGGCGAUACGAAUGGAAAAUAAAAGAGGUUGAAUGAAGUCUCGACUAUAGUUCUACAAAAAUUACACCUUCACUCCUUAGAGGUAUCUCGGCUCUUGUUGGUAAAGAUAGUUGAUGUUUCUAAAAUAUAUCUAAACAACUUUAGGACAGCUCACAUCGAAAAAGAAUGGAAUCAUAGGCCCGUUUUACACAUGGACCCCAGGCUGUAAGAAACUUUUUUGAUCCCUUCUUAAUAGCAUAAACCCCUUCAAGCCCACUUCCCUGUGACAGAGGAAUUGACAAGCUGAAAAUAAAACGACCUCCUUGGCAAACUUAUCUUUACUCCUCAGUCUCGGAUUAAAAAUUAAUAGUUCGUAAGGUCCGAGUAGGAGAAGCACGGAAUUGAAAAUACCGACCAAUGAUGAUCCCAUGUCUUACUAAUACGGUCUGCAUUUUUAGUCACUGAAAGGAGUUUUGUUGUUCCCAUACAUAAUCUAUACAAGAAAUUGUAUUCAGUAACUUCUAUAAACUUUUCUUUAAUUCGUUUAUCCCGAAAAGCUUCACAGUCAAGGAGUCUCAUGAUGCAGGAGAAGUUUAAUGUUUGCUACAUAGACUUAAUGUUUAGAGCUCCAAGUCCCAAGCCGCUUGUCAGAGUGGAUUAACUCUAUCUCUUGCUAUGUACGCCCUCGAAUUCUUCCAAACCAGAUCGUUCCUAAUCUUAUAUACUACAUCACACAAGUCGACUAAGAAUAGGACGUACCUUAUUAGAUGAAAAACUUUUGGAAGCACGUUAAUGUUCCGUGCUAAUAGUGCUUCGCAUCGAGAGAGAUGAGUGAUCCUAUAAAUCAUGAUAAUUCUAUGGAGCAUAUUCAUUAUUUAAUUUUUGUUCUUGCUUCUAGCCUUAUGGUUCGACAGAUCAACUUUAAUUCCAUGUAGAGUGGACAUGUAACGAACGCAAAGUUAUCAAGUUGUGGCCUUGGAAUCCUUCAUAGUUCGACAGAAUUUCUGUUUUCCCGAAAUAAAUCAUAAGUCCCGAUAUACUACGGAAAAUCUGGAGCACCUCCAUGGAAGAAUUGAUAGUCAUUUUCACAACCUAUAAGAAAUACAGUAAAGUCGUCUGCUAACAGCAAACAUUUAAAUAACAUUUUUGGACCUUAAAUACUCGAAUCAUUCAUAAGCAUCUCGUAUAUUCUGUUCAUUGAUAUGAUGAAGAGGGAUGGUGAAAGUAUAUCACCAUGCCAAGCUCCCCUUGCGAUUUAAAAUUUUGUUGAACUACUCGCUCCUGGUAAAUCAAUCUUUGACAAAGCACUUCGAAGAAUCGCUGAAACCAAUAGGGAAGCCAUACCCGAAAAGUUGCUCUAUUAUGAACUUAUGAGACAAUAUCUCAAAGGUUUUUUCGAAAUCGACCAGAAGUGCUACAAAUUUUGAAUUUGGAAAAUCAAGUUGAGGAAGGAAGUGUGUCUCCAUUCCAUUGCGAGUCGUUCUCUGAACGCCCUAAAAGAAGUAUGGGCAAUUAUCCUCCUAACAAACAAAAGUUAAAUCGGAAGUUUGUACAGCUCAAUACUGGUCUGAAAAAGUAAUGCUCAUUUUUUCGGAAGAAAAAGAGAGUUAGUGGGGGCCCUGAACUACAGGAAACAGACGUUUAUGGGACCUCCAAAAGCAUGCUACAGAAGAGUCCGUAAUUACAUUCGGAAUUUAUUUAAUUUUUAGAGUUUACCUACUAUGAAGUAUAUAUAUAUAUAUAUAUGUUCCAUCAUAAAUGAAAAAGAAAUACAGUAUAUAAAUUAUG
rnacentral:lncRNA from 1 species